CGGGCUUGGGGUAGGCACCUGGUGCUCCCUGGGGUCAGAGGGGCUUGGGAUGAGCCCCUGGGAAUACGACAAACUCGUGAUGUGCUCCUGGUACCCUGGAGUAAAGGGACCCAGGAGAGCGCCAGGAUCCCCAGAGGUGCUGAUGCUGGGACUUGCCAGGAGUGUGCGCUUCUCCCGGGCAGUACAAACACCCGUGAGCCCUUCAGACAAAUGCUUGAGGACACUCAGACCACCUGGCUUUGGGAAUGUGGGACAUCAGAAAGGACUUGGGUCACAGCGUGCUCUCCUCUGUAUCUUACACUCUGCUGCUGUUGUCAGCAGACUUUGUCUGACCUCCUCUUCUGCCUCGUUGUCUUUGUUCCUUCAGCAAUCUGCCUGCAGAGCCUGCAAACCCCAGCUUGGUCUCUUCCUUCCAGCAGAAGCAUCCCUGGAUGUCAGUAAUCCCAGCAGGUUUUUAACACCUGUGGACUUCACUGGAGAGAUGCCCGUGGCUGGGUGAGAGCCUGACACCUCAAUUAUCAGCUCAAGCUGCUGACUACAACCAGGGCUGCAUGACACUGAAGAGCUGAAUCCAUCCCAGAUCCUGGACUGACAAGACAUUAAUAAAUUUUUAAGGGUUUAUCAAUUUAAAGCAAAAUCUUUGUGACUUUCAAUGUACUCUUUCAACACAUGGAAUCUGAAAGGGAAAUAAAAGUUGUGUAUGUUGCUUCCUUACAGCCAACACCUUGAAAAUUUUUAUUGCCAGUGUAUUUCAGGACUGGAAACAGAAAUAAUACCCCUGUUGGUCUGAUAGUAAGGAUGUCCCUGUGUUUGUAUACUGAAU